rnacentral:rRNA from 1 species
GAUGAACGCUAGCGGCGGGCCUAAUACAUGCAAGUCGAGGGGCAGCAGGGGUAGCAAUACUCGCUGGCGACCGGCGCACGGGUGCGUAACGCGUAUGCAACCUACCCAUAACACGGGAAUAGCCCGAAGAAAUUCGGAUUAAUACUCGAUAGUAUCACAUGAUGGCAUCUGAAAGUGAUUAAAGAUUUAUCGGUUAUGGAUGGGCAUGCGUCUGAUUAGCUAGUUGGUGAGGUAAUGGCUCACCAAGGCUACGAUCAGUAGGGGUUCUGAGAGGAUGAUCCCCCACACCGGUACUGAGACACGGACCGGACUCCUACGGGAGGCAGCAGUAAGGAAUAUUGGUCAAUGGACGCAAGUCUGAACCAGCCACGCCGCGUGCAGGAUGACGGCCCUAUGGGUUGUAAACUGCUUUUGUUUGGGAAGAAACCCCUUUUGCGAAAGGGACUGACGGUACCAGACGAAUAAGCACCGGCUAACUCCGUG